rnacentral:lncRNA from 13 species
UGACUUUAGCUUGCUGGUGUUCUACUGCACCAGGACUUUAGCUUGCUGGUGUUCUACUGCACCAGUUCUGCACCAUGACNNNNNNNNNNCACAUAUAAACAUUUUAUGCACUACUUUUCUAAAUAUGUUUUUUUUCUUCCCAACAGUCAUUUUAGGCACAUUUUUCACAAAUGGGGAAAACUCCUUUUUGCAAUACCUCAAUUUUUCACAUUGUGAAAGUGCUGAGGAAUCUUCACAACCAAGUAGCGUACGUGCAUUGACGCGACUUCCGAAACGGCAGAGGAACGAUCAGUGUACUGCUUAAAGACCUCUGCAGGAUGCAAAGAAAAAAAGAUGAGAAAAUAAGAAAAAAACGAACUCUAAAAUCUAUUUUAGCAGUGGAGGACUUGAGCAUCUUAUAGGAAGGAGGACACUGUUGAAAAGACUUGUUAACUCAUCUCCACUGUCUGUUGAGGUAAUUCAACCGUUUUGGAAGAAGGGGAACUUUAAGACUUGAAUGUGGUAAAUGUUGCAAGUUAACUUCGAGUUGUUAUGUGCAAUACAUUUUAUUUUAUUUUUUUUCCAGAUAAAGACUCUUUGCAAUGUAAUUCUUUAAUGCCAUUUUUAAUUGCAGACAUUUAAAGAAGACGUUAAUAUGUUUUUCAGUCAUUUUCUACUGUUAUUGUAAUCCUUUUCAUGCUGGUGUUUGUAAAAAAGAAAAAGAAAUCAAACUAUUUGUACUAAUAUAAAUAAUCGAAGUUAUUUUUAAAACAUUAAAGGUUUUGUGCUCAUUUGUUUAUUUCAAGCUACUGUGAUUGGUUGUAAUUAUUAGGUCAAUAAUGUAUUUAGCUGUUUUAUUGGUAUAUUUUUAAUUGGAAUGUAUAAUUUUUAUAAUUUUGAUCAGAUUUUUGUUAUAUUUUUGAGGUGAAGNNNNNNNNNNGAGGUGAAGCUUUUAAAGUGUCUAGUUUUUACUAAUUGCUAUAUUGUGCUCCACAAUAUAUGAUUAACAUUUUCUGAAGGAAAAUAAACAUUUAAAUAUUUGUCUGUUAAUGAUGUUACUUAAUGGCAAAAUGUCAAUAGUUUUUAACUGUAUGGGAAGGUUGUUGUAUUUAUUAAUAGCAUUUUUUACUUAAGAUUAUCACCUUAAUUUCUAUUGUCAUUUCACUUUAUAAGUUCCUAUUUUUGUAUUUUCCUUUCUAAUUAAGUUAUGUAAUACAAAAUGUCCAUAUUUCUAGGAGUUGGUCUGUAGCAGUGCUAGUGAAACGAAAAAUACAACUCUGUUAUUUAAUUGUUUGCAGCCAACUAUUUAUAACAGUGCAUCAUUUUUAAAUAUUUGUAAUGUGAAAUGUUGAAUGAAUAAAACUUAACUGUGAAAAGGCCCAUUGUCUGUUUAUUUUUUGGUGUGGAUUGUAACAGUCCGUUUUCUGUAGCGGUCUAUCGGUUGCUGCUUUCACAAAGCUAGGCAGCAGCCAUUGUUGGGCCCUGGCUCAUAAAACCUCCAAAUUAUUUCAGAUAUCUUUACUACAUACAAGCAAAUAAGGUCACAAUGAGUUGUGUACGUUAGGCUGUGUGUGAAAGAGCGUGAGACAGGGAGUUGAAAUGCUGACCACAAGCAGCUUUCGAUAAUGUCGGUAUCAAAGUAACCAUUUCUAUUUUAUGAGCAUUUAUUUUGCAGCCAUUGAUUAUUUCCUUGUCCAGACUACGAAGUCAUUGUGUUUGUAUGCCAGCUGUUACUCUGAUCUUUUCAAAGACUUGGAAUGUCACUAUAAUGCUAUGGUCAUCCUUGCGUAUCCUUGGUCAUCCUACACAAGCCAUAGCUGAUUAGCUGAUGAAGCCAGUCAAUGUAAAAUAGAUGCAUCAUGCAUGCCAGGGUAUUG